rnacentral:rRNA from 1 species
AUGAUUUUGUGCAAAAAUGUCCCUUCGCUCCCCACUAAUCUGCUUCAGGUCCUUCUUCUUCAAACGACUGAUCUCCGUAUAGCUCUCCUGUUUCCCUAUUGCUCGUCGACAGUGGCGGCUGCACAGAUCUGGUGCUUACCUGGUGGACGACGACUACUCCCUGGGCAGUUGCUCCCUGCCUCCUCCCCCUCCCACUCCGGCUUCCAGGUCUCUUGGCUCCAUCUACUGCGCAUCCCGACGACGCGUUGCACAUCCUCGUCAGGGACCGGGCCGCCGCCGCCACGGUCUCCUCCACCCCGAUGA